rnacentral:rRNA from 1 species
UGAGGAAUCUUGCACAAUGGGCGAAAGCCUGAUGCAGCAAUACCGCGUGGGUGAAGAAGGUUUUCGGAUCGUAAAGCCCUUUUCUUCGUGACGAGAACGGACGGUAGCGAAGGAAGAAGUCUCGGCUAACUACGUGCCAGCAGCCGCGGUAAAACGUAGGAGGCAAGCGUUAUCCGGAGUUACUGGGCGUAAAGCGCGCGCAGGCGGAUAUUUAAGUUUCUGAUGAAAGCUCCUGGCUAAACUGGGAGAGGAUCGGGAAAACUGGGUAUCUAGAGAGCGAGAGAGGAAAGCAGAAUUCCGCGUGUAGUGGUGAAAUGCGUAGAGAUGCGGAGGAAUACCAGUGGCGAAGGCGGCUUUCUGGCUCGCAACUGACGCUGAGGCGCGAAAGCAUGGGUAGCGAACGGGAUUAGAUACCCCCGUAGUCC